AUGAACGCUGGCGGCGUGCCUAAUACAUGCAAGUCGAGCGAACGGACGAGAAGCUUGCUUCUCUGAUGUUAGCGGCGGACGGGUGAGUAACACGUGGAUAACCUACCCAUAAGACUGGGAUAACUUCGGGAAACCGGAGCUAAUACCGGAUAAUAUUUUGAACCGCAUGGUUCAAAAGUGAAAGACGGUUUUGCUGUCACUUAUAGAUGGAUCCGCGCUGCAUUAGCUAGUUGGUAAGGUAACGGCUUACCAAGGCAACGAUGCAUAGCCGACCUGAGAGGGUGAUCGGCCACACUGGAACUGAGACACGGUCCAGACUCCUACGGGAGGCAGCAGUAGGGAAUCUUCCGCAAUGGGCGAAAGCCUGACGGAGCAACGCCGCGUGAGUGAUGAAGGUCUUCGGAUCGUAAAACUCUGUUAUUAGGGAAGAACAUAUGUGUAAGUAACUGUGCACAUCUUGACGGUACCUAAUCAGAAAGCCACGGCUAACUACGU
rnacentral:rRNA from 1 species